GCCCAGCUGGCUCAGUCAGUAGAGUGUGUGAUUCUUGGUCUUAAGAUCAUGAGUUUGAGCCCCAAGUUGGGCA
rnacentral:tRNA from 1 species